GAUUGAACGCUGGCGGCAGGCCUAACACAUGCAAGUCGAGCGGAUGAAGGGAGCUUGCUCCUGGAUUCAGCGGCGGACGGGUGAGUAAUGCCUAGGAAUCUGCCUGGUAGUGGGGGAUAACGUCCGGAAACGGGCGCUAAUACCGCAUACGUCCUGAGGGAGAAAGUGGGGGAUCUUCGGACCUCAAGCUAUCAGAUGAGCCUAGGUCGGAUUAGCUAGUUGGUGGGGUAAAGGCCUACCAAGGCGACGAUCCGUAACUGGUCUGAGAGGAUGAUCAGUCACACUGGAACUGAGACACGGUCCAGACUCCUACGGGAGGCAGCAGUGGGGAAUAUUGGACAAUGGGCGAAAGCCUGAUCCAGCCAUGCCGCGUGUGUGAAGAAGGUCUUCGGAUUGUAAAGCACUUUAAGUUGGGAGGAAGGGCAGUAAGUUAAUACCUUGCUGUUUUGACGUUACCAACAGAAUAAGCACCGGCUAACUUCGUG
rnacentral:rRNA from 1 species